rnacentral:rRNA from 1 species
UACAGAGGGGGCAAGCGUUGUCCGGACUUACUGGGCGUAAAGGGCGCGCAGGCGGUCACGGGCGUCGGUGCUGAAAGUGCGCCGCUUAACGGCGCAAUGCGUGCCGAUACGCCGUGACUGGAGCGCGGGCGAGGGUGGUGGAAUUGCCGGUGUAGUGGUGAUAUGCGUAGAUAUCGGCAGGAACACCUGUGGCGUAGGCGGCCACCUAGCCCGCUGCUGACGCUGAGGCGCGACAGCGUGGGGAGCGAACUGGAUUAGAUACCCAGGUAGUCCACGCCGUAAACGAUGCCGACUCGGUAUCCGGCGGCAUUACGCCGUGGGGUGCCCUAGCUUACGCGAUAAGUCGGCCGCCUGGGAACUACGAGCGCAAGCUUAAA